rnacentral:rRNA from 1 species
AUUGAACGCUGGCGGCAUGCCUUACACAUGCAAGUCGAACGAGUGGCGGACGGGUGCGUAAUGUCUGGGCCACUGCCCGAUGGAGGGGGAUAACUACUGGAAACAGUAGCUAAUACCGCAUACCAUCGGAUGUGCCCAGAUGGGAUUAGCUAGUAGGUGGGGUAAACGCUCACCUAGGCGACGAUCCCUAGCUGGUCUGAGAGGAUGACCAGCCACACUGGAACUGAGACACGGUCCAGACUCCUACGGGAGGCAGCAGUGGGGAAUAUGGGACAAUGGGGGAAAGCCUGAUGCAGCCAUGCCGCGUGUAUGAAGAAGGCCUUCGGGUUGUAAAGUACUUUUAGCGAGGAGGCGGUACUCGCAGAAGAAGCACCGGCUAACUCCGUGCCAGCCGCCGCGGUAAUUC